GAUAAACGCUGGCGGCGCACAUAAGACAUGCAAGUCGAACGAACUUAACCCUUAGUUUACUAAUGGAGCGGUUAGUGGCGGACUGGUGAGUAACACGUAAGCAACCUACAUAUCAGAGGGGAACAACAGUUAGAAAUGACUGCUAAUACCGCAUAUGCCCAAGUAACACAUGUUACAAUGGGGAAAGGAGAAAUCCGCUGAUAAAUGGGCUUGCGUCUGAUUAGCUAGUUGGUGGGGUAACGGCCUACCAAGGCGACGAUCAGUAGCCGGACUGAGAGGUUGAACGGCCACAUUGGGACUGAGAUACGGCCCAG
rnacentral:rRNA from 1 species